GUGCCCACUAUGGCAGCAGCACAUAUACUAAAAUUGGAAUGACCACAGGAAGAUUAGCAUGGCCUCUGCACACUAAUUUUGUGAAGCAUUCCAUUUUUUU
ensembl:snRNA U6 U6 spliceosomal RNA